GAAGUCUUCAAUUCCGUAGUGCAUUGCAGUUUGUUAUUUAAAAAAUUACUGCAAGCAUUGUGGAAAUGAUGAUUUUAU
rnacentral:pre_miRNA from 1 species